rnacentral:lncRNA from 1 species
GUCCUCACUCAGAGUGAAGUUUCCCAUCAGGAUACUUCUGAAAGCAAAGGUAUGAAAAUGUUUAGAAAGCAGCAUUUGAUGACUCCAUAAAUGAAUGACUGUAUUUUGAAUAUUUAUUUCAGAGUAAUAUCACAGCAGCCUAAUGACCUUAUGAGCUAUCGUUAAGUAUUAAAUCCAUGAGGCCCAGAUAUUUUGUACAAGAUGAAAGUGCCAAAAGCAGAGCCUAUAGGACAAG